UACGGGGGGGAGCAAGCGUUGUUCGGAUUUACUGGGCGUAAAGGGCGCGUAGGCGGCGUGACAAGUCACUUGUGAAAUCUCCGGGCUUAACUCGGAACGGUCAACUGAUACUGCUCGGCUAGAGUGCGGAAGGGGCAACUGGAAUUCUUGGUGUAGCGGUGAAAUGCGUAGAUAUCAAGAGGAACACCAAUAGCGAAGGCAGCUCGCUGGGACGGUACUGACGCUGAGGCGCGAAAGCGUGGGGAGCGAACAGG
rnacentral:rRNA from 1 species